ACACAUGAAAUAUUUCUGAUCACUGCAUUCUUCCCAGAACAAGAUGUGCAGAUGAGUGGCUGGGGCUCAGCCAGCCCAAAGGGAAAUGUUAAAAACAAGGGAAAUAUGAAAUUCUUGGGGUGAUUUGGUUUGUGAGGAAGGUUGGGGGAGGCUGCAGAUUUUGGGAACGGAGUGAGGCGGUGCCAGGGGCCAGGUGAAUCUUCUGUCAGCCACUUUCAGAUCAGCCUGGCUUCAGGUGAGAGUUAAAAACAGAGCACAGCAGGUGGGUGGUUGGAGAGGGAUGAGAACGAUGCAAAAAAUCUGCUGGACCUGCAGAUCCUGCUUGGGUUUGAAAAUCACAGCUCCCGUGAAAUCACCCUCUAAUAAAGAGCCUGAAACAGGAACCUGUCAUUUCGUGGUUGCUGCAUGAGGCAGAGGAUGAUCCAAGUGGCUCUGGCAGAGCUCCGUGGUGCAGCUGGAGUCAGGAAUAUUUCCUGGGCAUGGAUCACACCGAAACUCAGAGCUGGGGCUCUCCCUGCCUCCUCAGCUCCCUCCCAGCUGCUCCACAUCAGCUCAGGUCUCCCCCUCCACAGCUGGAGACCAAAUCCACCUUCCCACCUCUCCCAGGAACCAAAUAAAUCCCAAAGCCACAGCCACAGGCUCUGGAAAGGAUUUGUUACCUGUGGGACGGGGCCAGGUUUGAUCCUUUCACAUUUAUGUUGGAGAAUCUGUGAGAGUUUGGGGGGUAAAAUGUGUUUGUGUGUGAAAAGAGCCCGUGCUUGGCUUUUAGGGGACGUGAGAGGCCAGGCUUUGUCUCUUCAUGCUGGUUAAACACGGUGGUGGUGGACAUCAGGAUGGAAUUGGGGAAGGUCUGUGAGAAUCUGGGUCGCUCUGUGGGCUCCUGUUGGUGUUUCCAGCUGCUCUGGCUCAUGGAAUGUGCUGGGAGAGCUCCUGGGGCAGGCAGGAGAGCUGGAGUCACCCCCCAGCUCUGCCAGCCUCGGUGAAAUGUCACUGAAUCCUUCUCUUCGUCCCUCAGAGCCUCGGGAGGAGCUGCAGGCUGGGCCAGGGGCUGGGAAACGUCCAGGCUGAGCAUCCCCUGCCUCCCACCGCGGCUCUGAGAGAGAAAAUCUCCUUCCAAUGCCCAUUUCAAGGCGCCUGCCAUGAUGAGCCUGGGGUUUAUCUGCUUUGGGCCAUCUUAGGAAGGUGCUGGAGCCAUCCCACAUCAUCUGGAGAGGAGAGGAGCUCCUGGCUGUGCCUGGCCACCUGGGCAGAGCCUUUUCCAUCUGUAUUCAGCCUGCGUGGCUGGAGCAGCCCCUGGGAGACAGCACUAAAAUCUGUGAGCUCCUGCAGCACAACAUCUCCUGGGUGAGGGUCCAAGGAAGAGAAUUUUGGGGUUUUUUUCCCAUGAAUUAAGGGUUGCCCUGCAGUUUUAAAGGAGUAAAAAAAGGAAAGAUGGAAUCUGUGGGUGCCUGUAGGAGAUUUGUCAUUUUGUGGAGUGAUGAGGCUGAGCCAGCACCACGGAGACAACAGGAAGGAAAAAACAUUUCCCUGGUUCACACCAGCAGAAUAAAAUUAUUUCAUUUUCUACUGACCCAGGACAAAUUGAGAGGCCACUGAGGACAUUUCUGAACGGAGCUGGAGGAUCAAAACCCUUCUCCCAGCAGCAGCAGGGGCUGUGUGACCACUCAAGGACCACAAGCAGCUCCUGGGUGGGACUGGGAGAGCAAACUCCAGGGUGAGGGGAGGCUGAGGCAGCUGCAGGCUGUGGCUGUGUGACAUGAGCAGCGUGGGACAGCAGCAAAAUGACAACAAUUCAGUGCUGACCUCCCCAGGCUCUGCUUAAAUUUAGUGCAGACAGUGAUUCAUCCCAGCCAGGUCAGGAGGGACCCGUUCCUCAGGUCAGGACAGAUGAACUUCACCCUCAAGGUGACUGGAAAGUUAUUUUGGGCUGUAGAGAACCCUCUCCUUAUUCCAGUGACUAUUUCAGUGUUUAUUUCAGUGCUUUCAGAGCACAGCUGGAGGGGUUUGGCCCCACAAGGGGAGAUGGGCACUCAGGGAAAAACUGGAUUUGUUUUCUUCCUCCCUGACUUAUCUUGGGGUCUGCUUUGCCUGACAGGUGAAGUCUUAGGCUGGAAAUUAUUCUUAGACCUUUCCCACUUGGGAUCUUAUUUCUGAAGCCAUCUAAAAUAGGCUGUUGCUCCACAUUCACAGGAGCAAAUUCACAGCGUUCCUCUGGCCCUCUCCUUAUUUAAGCAGGGCAAAAUGGAGCACAGGAGUUCUGGUGAUGCUGAUUUUAAUGAAAAAACCAGGAAAAAAAAAAAAAAGCAAAAAAGCUGCAGCCUGCUCCAUUAGUCACCUGGUGUUACAGGAAAGUAAUAAACUAGGAAUGUUCCUGCUCUCUCCUCCAUGCACCUUAUGUUGUGUUUCUGCUUUUGUACCAUUUUUCAGCGUCUUUGAUAUUUUUCCCUGGCACGCAGGAGGGAAGAUUGUUGAGAUGUAGACAUUUACCUUAAUUAAACAAGAUUCCUCUU